GGGAACCUGCCUUUAGGUACGGAAUAACGUCUGGAAACGGACGCUAAUACCGUAUAUUUCCUCCGGGAAAAAGGUCCGCCGCCUAAAGAGGGGCCCGCGUCAGAUUAGCUUGUUGGUGGGGUAAUGGCUUACCAAGGCUACGAUCUGUAGUUGGUCUGAGAGGAUGAUCAGCCACACUGGGACUGAGACACGGCCCAGACUCCUACGGGAGGCAGCAGUGGGGAAUAUUGGACAAUGGGGGCAACCCUGAUCCAGCAAUGCCGCGUGUGUGAUGAAGGCCCUAGGGUUGUAAAGCACUUUCAACGGUGACGAUGAUGACGGUAACCGUAGAAGAAGCCCCGGCUAACUUCGUGCCAGCAGCCGCGGUAAUACGAAGGGGGCGAGCGUUGUUCGGAAUUACUGGGCGUAAAGGGCGCGUAGGCGGUCUAUCCAGUUGGGCGUGAAAGCCCUGGGCUCAACCCAGGAAUUGCGUCCAAUACUAAUAGACUAGAGACCGAGAGAGGAUAGUGGAAUUUCCAGUGUAGAGGUGAAAUUCGUAGAUAUUGGAAAGAACACCAGUGGCGAAAGCGACUAUCUGGCUCGGUUCUGACGCUGAGGCGCGAAAGCGUGGGGAGCAAACAGGAUUAGAUACCCUGGUAGUCCACGCCGUA
rnacentral:rRNA from 1 species